ACAACUGAAUGCGUGCGCGACUGGGGGAAGCCGGUGGGAAUCCGGCGCUGACCUGCAACCGUGUGCGGCCCCCGGGCCGCGAGUCGGACAGCCCGGCGCGUGACGUGUACCGCUU
rnacentral:ncRNA from 17 species